CCAAUUUUAUAGAUAUGCGAUGAUACAAAGAAAUUAGAUUUUCAGAUACAACUUUACACAAUGACUGUAGGGAAUUAUUUACAUCACCACUAUUCCCUACUUACAAUCAAAACCUAUCACUAUCACAAAACACUACAGCUACAUACCUACAAGCAUGCGGGAGAUAACGCGUGAGUGUAAAAAGAAGAAAAAUGAGAGAAGACCAAUCGGCUCCUCCCUUCAAUUCAGCCAACCACCAUCUCCAAUCCUUUGACUUUACAGCCAACAACUCACGCAUUAAAGCACCAGCCUAACACUUCAUUCCUUCUCUCAUACACCAACCACCAGAAAGGGAGAUGAAGAGAAGUUAAUUCCUGCUGCCAACUGCCAAGUAUCGAGAGUUCCUUCCCCAUUGAAUUCAAUAAUAACAGCAGCCAAUCAAGCACAAAAUACACAAGGUAUUUACACCAUCUCAGUUCAGUUCAAUUUCUUGCUUCAUACAAUCAUAUCAAGCAUAUGUUUUCAGUUGUAUGGAAAUACAAAUAUUACAACUAUAGAAUGAUAGAGAACUAGAUGAUUAGCUCAACCACAAUUUAUAUAUGCUUCUUCGCUAGAUAAACGAUGAGAAUUCAUAUGACAACAGAAGAAACUUUUGCCUAGUUUUAACUCUUGCAUACUCGAGCAACUCAACAUACUAAGCACAACAAGGAAAAUCAAGUCUUUACAGUAGAGUUUUCUGAAAAUUAUUCAAAUUCACAAACCUCCUAUGGAGUGAUAAAACGAGAGGGAGGAGAACGAGUCGGACUCCGGGGAAGGGCAGCUCCAACGGGCUGGCCGCUGUCGGCAGAAGCUAUCUGUCGUCCCUCGUCAACUCUGGAACAACGACGCCGGCGGAUCCAAGAGAGACCGCGGCCGCCGAGACUCCAGUUGACGACGGCGGCGGUGGCUCUGAGCGAGGCGGGCUGCUGGAGAUCAGACCAGCGACCUCGAUUCCGGGCAAAGCAGCUGCAACUCCGGGCGGCGGCGUUACCUCAGCAGCGGCGACGUCCGGCGAUAGAGCUUCCAGGCGUGUCGGCGGACGGCGGCGGUUGCACCAGAUCUUCGCUGGUCUUCCAGAGGCGGCGGCGUCGAACCGUGAUGAGAUGAGAGAAGAAGGCAGCGAUUCUUGAGAGGGGCGGGUGGCCGAGGACGGCACCCUCAGCCGGACACGGCCUCGCCGGGGCCGUUCGCGGCGGAGCUGCGGAGGCGGCGGAAUUUCGAGGGAGAAGGGGCGGAUAUGGCGGAACCAAGGGAGAAAGAGAAAAGCUAUGUGCGUGUGAGUGAGCGGCUGAAAGGGGGGGAGAAAAGGGCUUGAAGGCUAGGUGUUGGGCUUUGAGGCUUGGGCCAAUUGGGCCGAUUUUUUUCAUUUUUUUUUAUUUCAGUUGGGCUUCUUAUUUGGGCCGGUUUUCUUUUGAUUUAAUUUAUCAGCUGGGCCUUUAUUUUAAUUGCUUGGGCUGUAAAAUUUUAAGAACUAGCCCUACAUUUGGGUAGUCCAUAAAUUAAUUAAUUUGACUAUAAUUAGUUUGAUUAAUUAUUUUAAAGAUGAUUUGCAUAAAAAUAUUAAUAUUAUUAUGUGCAUAUUUUAAGUUAUUACUUAUUAUAUGCUAAGCAUGACAUGCAUUUGCAUAUGCAUUUUGCAAUAAAAGUAUUUAUGAUUUAAUUGGUUUUAAUUAUAAUUCCAAUUUUUAAAGAAAAUCGAGUAAGAAUAUUGUUGGUGUUCUUAACUCAAGAGAAAUGUUUUCAAUUAUUUAUUCAUUAAAUUUUGAAAACCCGGCUAAGUGAAUCAUAGAAUGUUAAGCACUACACCAUGACUUAAUAUUAGAUUCAAGGAGAUCUAUUAAGAAUAGAAUUUCUUGUAGGCUUUGUGACCAGGGGGAUUAGCGCUGCUUUCCCAAGACAGGUUUUUAUGUGUAUGAUCUUCAGGCUUUGCCUAUCCAGGUUGAGCUGAUGUGAUGAUGGUGCUGCAAUGAGCGGAGUUUCCAGGGUUGUUAAUAAAUAGUUAACCUGUCUAGAAUAUGUCUUCAUACAUAUGUCUGGCUACUUUCCGCUGCAAGAUGUUGUUGAUGUUAUAGUAUGUUAUGUCAUACUUUGAGUCUUAAGAGAAUGGUUUCAUAUGAUGUAUAACUUGAUUAAUGAUAUUAAUUAAGUUUUAUGCUGUCUUUCAUAGACUAUUUUCAAUUGAGUAUUCAUGAAUAAAAAUGACGAGUUUUA